rnacentral:lncRNA from 1 species
CUGGGACAGGAGGUUUGGGACCAGCAUGGGUUGGGUGUCGACAUGGGGAGGAGGCGAGUGGUGAUUUCUCCACCGUGGCUGCGACACCCAAACGAGCAGCGGCCACAGCGGUGCCAAAAUGUCACGUUCCCAAAGCCCUGGAAGAGCUGCCAGCUGAGGGGAUGGCGCAGGCGUGGGGCUGGCCAGGACCUGGCAGGAGCUUGCUCAGGGAGAGUGGUGAGAGCGAGAUCUCCGCGCAGAUCCUGGAGCCAGUCGGAAGAUGAGUCAAAGGGUUCCUGAAACGAUUAGGGCUGCGA